rnacentral:hammerhead_ribozyme from 1 species
AUCCAGCCGACGAAUCCAAAAUAGAACGAAAUACCCGUCCUGGAU